CUCCUUGUCUUGCUUUUUCUUUUCUUCUAAGUACAUUUAAAAACAUGAAAUUCUGCAACUCCUGCCUCAAAUUCAGUAGUUCAAAUAAAUCUAGGACAUGGUUUCCCCGCCCAAAAUAUGUAUUUAAAUAUUAAUCCAUCUCCCCCAAGUAGGUCCAAAACUUAGAAUGCUUCCUAUAAUGUUCAGACUAAAACCCAAAGUGGAUUCUCCAUUCUGUUGAUAUUACAGAUACCAUCUCUAAGGAUAAAGCCAACCCUGAGUCAAGACGAUUAAAAUCUGUAGCCGUUGAGAUUACCCUGUGAUCAUUCAUGCUGCUGCCUUGUUACUAUCGCAACACAUUUCUGGGGCAUGCUUUCUGAGAAUGAGAGUUUCCAGUUUGCCAAACUUUAGAAAAAUUAGGAACUUGCAGGCUGUGUGUCAUCUAAAAGCAGAGAAACUAAUGGAGAUCUGUCUUCAGUGGUAGCAGCCAAUGGCGUCUCUUCCACUAGGGUGGUGAAUUUGUUCUGAGUUUUGUCUGAACUUUAAAGCAGCUAUCGAAGAUAUUAAGCCUGUUUGGGGUUAAGAGUGUUGUAUGGCUCAUUUCAAGGGAGCGAUUCAACUCCUCAGUGACAUGGAAUUGGGAAUUCAAUAGCAGGUGAGGUCAAAUAAGCGCCUCCAUUUCUUUGUCACUGUUGUAAGAAUCUAGUCUUCUCCAUCUCAUUCUCACAGCUGCCCUGUGUCCUUUUCUCCUAGAUUCUGUUAAAUGUGCAAAAUUCUGACAUUCGAAUAUACCUGGAAUGUGGAUGCUCCAUAAAUGUGCCAUAUUUGUUCUGAUCAAAGAAUGGUAUGGGCAAUGGAGCAAGCAUGGAGAUUUAAAUAUCAACACAGCAACAUAGGAAACACACUGUUGAACAUUUUUGAGUUAACAGCUGCUUUUACAAUAGGUCUCUCCUUUUUACAGUUCCAAAUUUUCCCUCCUACUGAAAUAUCUGUUUCCCAUUAUUUUCCCCAAGAUAAAUGGUAUGCAUAGUUCUAAGCUGAAUCUCACACUAUUAUUUCCUGCCCAUAUGGUGUCUCGAAAACCAAGGAGUCAUAAAAUAGUCUGAUGAUGCAUUGCAUGAGAAGUAAUGCUUUUAUUUAUUUUUAAAGAAAAAAGUAAAUUGUUAUAUUGUGCUUUGUUUAUGAAUGGAGUAAAAGUGAAGGAGACGCCCUAAUCCUAAACAUGCUGGACUUGAUUCUAAAGUGCCUAUGAACAACUUCAUAUGCACUUUUAAACUAUUGGAAGAUCAUAGGGAGAUAGAAACGUGAAGCAUAUGUUCUCUGGCAGAAGAUUUGAGUACACGUUUACAGAUGGACCCAGCUAAUGCUCCCUUUGACUCAAGUCUCACUUACCUAGUAGUAUCUGCAGACAUUAUUUUCUACAUUGUAGAAUUACAAUGCCAUAGAAAUCAUAUGAGUUGUAGGCAGAGGUGGUCCAACAAUGAGGCGAAUUAGGCAGUUGCCUGUGGUGCAAAACAUACGGGGGCGCAGUCGAGACUGCUUUUUCUGUUGAUUUGUUGUAAAACAUGAUGUUUUGGUGCUUAGUUUGUAAAAUCUUAAUGUAAUUUGAUGUUUAAUAGGCUUUCCCUUAAUCCCUCCUUAUUAUCCAACAUUUUCACUUAUCCAAUGCUUUUAGUUUUCAGUGAUUGGUUUUGGGGAGGGGGGCAAAAUUCUGUUUGCCUACACUUGAAAAAUACCUAGGGCCGGCUCUGGUUGUAGGUUUACAAGAUCUUUAGCUUCUUUGUCAAUCAUUACUGCGACCUCAUAACACUGGGGAUUUUGGGGUUCUUGCUCCUCUUUGGCCACAGGUCCUGCCGAUUGCCAUCUCAUGAUGCAGUCUGUGGCCCCACCCCAUGGCCAAAAUGGCAAGGAAAAUGGCAAGAUGCUUCCUUGCCAACAAUGAAAGGUAAGGUGUCUUUUGGGUAGCUACCUGCAGUUUUGGCCUUUUCCCUCUGUCUGAUGGUGGAAAGGGCAAUGCGGCAAUGCAUGUUGCCACCUCUUCCCCUGUCUGAUGGGGGCAGGGACAGGAUGCCAAUGUGCUUUGCCUUGGUGCCCCCAUGUGAUGGGAGAAGCAGGGGGGAUCAAUAUGAUGAGGUCCCUGGUGUCUCACCAAACUACAAAUCCCAGAAUUCUAGAAUAUGAACUCAUGGCAGUUAAAGCUGUGUCAAACUGUAUUAAUACUAGAGUGUAUGUGAACUCUUAGUUGUGAAGAAGAAAGACACAACAGUAUAUCAACUGAACUCUGCAGCAUUACUGCUAUGGACCAGAAUUCUACUUACCACAUUGACUAAUGGAUUCCGGGAGUUGUUAUCCAUAAAUGUAUCUUUUCCAAGCUCUAGUUCAGAACAUGAGCUAGUGCUAAUUUUGCCAGUAGUCCUGAACUCUCUGUUGCCAGAUACAUAUUUCAGAAACCUUGUCUGCUCACUCAGGUCUUUGACUGUUAACUGUCUGAUGCAGAAGUUCAUUUACUUGGGGUGUUGUAUUUUAAUGUUAUAAUUGUGUUUUAUACAUCCAUUUUUAACAUGUACAUAUCCAUCAUUUUAACUGUAUUUUGUUUUAACUCAUAUUGGCUGAUAUUCUGUUAGUGACUUAUGCACUACACACUAUGGAGGGAACACGGAAACAUUACUUCUUCUGGACUACAGUUUCUGUCAUCCUCCAAUCAACACGACCACAAAUCAUGCGGCAAGAGGAGUCUAAGUAUUCUAAUUAAAAGGGGACCCACAAGAAAAAGGAUGCUGCCUUCUGCCAGAGGACAUGAUAAGCUGGCCAUAGAGAGAAGCUCUGUGGUUUGUUUAGCCACUCCUUCUGCAAGUGGAGGGAUCAAACGGAUCGUGCUGUCAUGCUGUUUGUUCACAAAAUGCAAAAGUUCCAGUGGAUUCCCAGUUUGUUGUGUUAUCAGAACACACCCACUGAGUCAUCUACCUUUAGUGAAGAGCCUUCAUGAAGCUAUGAAGGACUGUGUGGAUCAGAGCAGAAACCUUUUUCAUCCAGCAUUCAAUUUCCCACAAAGCAACAUCCUACUCAUGUACCCCAGCAAGUGGUGUUUAUUCAGAAGCAUAUCUCAUAACUUGAAAUGAACUGUAUCUUGUGGCCUAUUGCUCUGAAGUCUUUUUGAUGCAGAUAUGCUAAUGAACAAUGGCUCUACCAAGUUUCAAGUAAGCGUUUGAUUCUGGAAGUGUCAGGGGAUGAACCUGUGACUGUCUGGAUAUAGACCACAUGAUCUCUUUCUUUAAGGAUAAAUAAAAAACAUGACCAUUUUA